GUAUAGCUUACUGCCAGAGCACUUGCCUAGCAUGCAUGAGGCCCUGGGUUCAAGUCUCAGUAC
rnacentral:tRNA from 1 species